UAUCUGGUACUACUUCAACAUCAGUGACAUCUGGUACUUCUACAAUUGCCUCACCAUCUGAUACUACUACAACUG
rnacentral:lncRNA from 1 species